rnacentral:lncRNA from 1 species
GAUAAUACUGCUAUCAUUCAUUUAGACUCGUGCCCUGAACAAAAUAAGAGUAACAUUUUUCUAAGGUAUCACUAGAGAGAGAUCACCACACAAUUCUUGUCAAGUGAUAGCUUCAUAAGAAGGAUUAUUUGACAAUAAUAAUAAUACUAUGUGUCUAGUUGAUAGGUUGCAUGUCAAUAGGUAAAGUGUAGAGUAGAUGAGUCAGUAUAUGUUACCUGAUGCUGCUUGUCCGAGGGCAGAGGGAGUGUUUGGCAUU